rnacentral:rRNA from 1 species
CAGGACGAACGCUGGCGGCGUGCCUAAUACAUGCAAGUCGAGCGGUUCCUUCGCGGAUAGCGGCGGGACGGGUGAGUAACACGUAGGCAACCUGCCUGCAAGACCGUGAUAACUAUCGGAAACGAUAGCUAAGACCGGAUACCUGGUUUUCUCGCAUGAGGGAAUCAUGAAACACGGGGCAACCUGUGGCUUGCAGAUGGGCCUGCGGCGCAUUAGCUAGUUGGUAGGGUAACGGCCUACCAAGGCGACGAUGCGUAGCCGUCCUGAGAGGGUGAUCGGCCACUCUGGGACUGAGACACGGCCCAGACUCCUACGGGAGGCAGCAGUAGGGAAUCUUCCGCAAUGGACGCAAGUCUAUCGGAGCAACGCCGCGUGAGUGAUGAAGGUUUUCGGAUCGUAAAGCUCUGUUGCCAGGGAAGAACGCCAUGGGGAGUAACUGCCCUAUGAUUGCCGGUACCUGAGAAGAAAGCCCCGCCUACUUCCGUGCCGCCAGCGCCGGUAUUACGUAGGGGGCAAGCGUUUUCCGGAAUUAUUGGGCGUAAAGCGCGCGCAGGCGGUCAUUUAAGUUUGGUGUUAAACCCCGGGGCUCACCCCCGGAUCGCACUGAAAACUGGAUGACUUGAGUGCGGGAGAGGAAAGUGGAAUUCCGCGUGUAGCGGUGAAAUGCGUAGAGAUGUGGAGGAACACCAGUGGCGAAGGCGACUCUCUGGACCGUAACUGACG